UCCCAAAAGACAUCCUGGGAGGAAAUUGACUCCCAAAAGACUUCCCGGGAGGAAAUGGACUCCCAAAAGACAUUAUCCCUGGCUGAAAGUGAGGCGGCUAUGACAUCACCUCUGCAAACUGAGGUUGAAAUGGCAGCGCUGGAGGAGAUCACUAUGACUGAAGAACCUCUGGCAGAGGAGAGAAAAAAGCGGGAUGGAUUUGACAUGCAGAUCCCAGUUCCCCUGGAAACAGCAGCGGGGGAUAAACUCCUGGGCCUUCCACACAAGGCAAAGAAGCAGAAAAAAGGAAUCAGGCGCUUCUUCGGUCACUUGUGGAAGGCCCUGA